rnacentral:hammerhead_ribozyme from 1 species
GUACCGCUGAAGAGUCCGAGACUAGUACGAAACAGCUGUCCAGUAC